CCUACGGGAGGCAGCAGUGAGGAAUAUUGGUCAAUGGACGAGAGUCUGAACCAGCCAAGUAGCGUGAAGGAUGACUGCCCUCUGGUUUUUAAACUUCUUUUAUAUGGGAAUAAAAUGUUCCACGUGUGGGGUUUUGUAUGUACCAUAUGAAUAAGGAACGGCUAACUCCGUGCCAGCAGCCGCGGUAAUACAGAGGAUCCGAGCGUUAUCCGGAUUUAUUGGGUUUAAAGUGAGCGUAGGUGGAUUGUUAAGUCAGUUGGGAAAGUUUGCGGCUCAACCGUAAAAUUGCAGUUGAAACUGGCAGUCUUGAGUACAGUAGAGGUGGGCGGAAUUCGUGGUGUAGCGGUGAAAUGCUUAGAUAUCACGAAGAACUCCGAUUGCGAAGGCAGCUCACUGGACUGCAACUGACACUGAGGAUCGAAAGUGUGGGUAUCAAACAGGAUUAGAGACCCGUGUAGUC
rnacentral:rRNA from 1 species